GACGAACCGUGCGGAACGUUGUUCGGAUUUAUUGGGCGUAAAGGGUGCGAUAGGCGGCGGAGUUAAGUUGGGUGUGAAAUCCCGGGGCUCAAACCUCGGAAUUGCAUUCAAUACUGCUUCGCUCGAAGUACUGGAGAGGAGACGUGGAAUUCGAUGGUGUAGCAGUGAAAUGCGUAGAGAUCAUGAGGAAGACCAGUGGCGAAGGCGGGUCUCUGGACAGUUCUGACACUGAGGCACGAAGGCCAGGGAGGCAAACGGG
rnacentral:rRNA from 1 species